rnacentral:rRNA from 1 species
UACGUAGGGUGCGAGCGUUGUCCGGAAUUAUUGGGCGUAAAGAGCUUGUAGGCGGUUUGUCGCGUCUGCUGUGAAAGUCCGGGGCUCAACUCCGGAUCUGCGGUGGGUACGGGGCAGACUAGAGUGAUGUAGGGGGAGACUGGAAUUCCUGGUGUAGCGGUGAAAUGCGCAGAUAUCAGGAGGAACACCGAUGGCGAAGGCAGGUCUC